GAUGAACGCUGGCGGCGUGCCUAAUACAUGCAAGUCGAGCGAACAGACGAGGAGCUUGCUCCUCUGACGUUAGCGGCGGACGGGUGAGUAGCACGUGGAUAACCUACCUAUAAGACUGGGAUAACUUCGGGAAACCGGAGCUAAUACCGGAUAAUAUAUUGAACCGCAUGGUUCAAUAGUGAAAGACGGUUUUGCUGUCACUUAUAGAUGGAUCCGCGCCGCAUUAGCUAGUUGGUAAGGUAACGGCUUACCAAGGCAACGAUGCGUAGCCGACCUGAGAGGGUGGUCGGCCACACUGGAACUGAGACACGGUCCAGACUCCUACGGGAGGCAGCCGUAGGGAAUCUUCCGCAAUGGGCGAAAGCUUGACGGAGCAACGCCGCGUGAGUGAUGAAGGUCUUCGGAUCGUAAAACUCUGUUAUUAGGGAAGAACAAAUGUGUAAGUAACUAUGCACGUCUUGACGGUACCUAAUCAGAAAGCCACGGCUAACUACGUG
rnacentral:rRNA from 1 species